rnacentral:rRNA from 1 species
UAGAAAUUUUCACCGGCGCUAUAGAGAUAGUACCGCAAGGGAAAGAUGAAAGAAAAACAAAAGUGAAAAACAGCAUAGAUUACCCCUACUACCUUUUGCAUAAUGAUUUAACUAGAAACUACUUGACAAAGAGAACUGAAGCCAAACACCCCGAAACCAAACGAGCUACUUCCGAACAGCUAACAGAGCAAACUCAUCUAUGUAGCAAAAUAGUGAGAAGAUUUAGAAGUAGAGGUGAAAAGCCUAUCGAGCUUGGUGAUAGCUGGUUAUCCAAACUAGAAUUUUAGUUCGACUUUAAGUUUUCCAAAAAUACCUUUAACUAAAAUGAAAUCUUAAAAUCUAAUUUAAAGGGGGACAGCCCUUUAAAAUAAGGAAACAACCUCAAACAGCGGGUAAACAACCAACUCACCAUAGUUGGCCUAAAAGCAGCCACCAAUCAAGAAAGCGUUCAAGCUCAACAAGUCACACAAACCUAAUACCAAUAUUUGUGCAAUCAACCCCUGUAAAGCAAUUGGAUUAAUCUAUAAAAUCAUAGAAGAGACAAUGUUAAUAUUAGUAACAAGAAAUAUUUCUCCGAGCACAAACUAACACCAAAUUCACAUUUGGUACCUAACAGUUUGAUAAAACCAGACACCCAUAAACCACAUUAUCAACCCUACUGUUAACCCGACACAGGAGUGCAACUACGGAAAGACUAAAAAAAGCAAAAGGAACUCGGCAAACACAAAUCCCGCCUGUUUACCAAAAACAUCACCUCUAGCAUAUCAAGUAUUAGAGGCACUGCCUGCCCAGUGACAAACAAGUUCAACGGCCGCGGUACCCUGACCGUGCGAAGGUAGCAUAAUCACUUGUUCUUUAAAUGAGGACUAGUAUGAAUGGCUAGACGAGGGUUUUACUGUCUCUUGCUUUAAGUCAGUGAAUUUGACCUUCCCGUGAAGAGGCGGGAAUAAUAUAAUAAGACGAGAAGACCCUAUGGAGCUUCAAUUUAUUAGUUCACUUUUCCACACACAAAAUUCGCAAGAAAACAAAACACAAAAGCAUGAACUAAUAAUUUCGGUUGGGGUGACCUCGGAGAAUAAAAAAACCUCCGAAUGAUAUUAACCUAGACACAACAAGUCAAAGUUCUUAUCAUCAAUUGACCCAAAACCAUUUGAUCAACGAACCAAGUUACCCUAGGGAUAACAGCGCAAUCCUAUCCAAGAGUUCAUAUCGACAAUAGGGUUUACGACCUCGAUGUUGGAUCAGGACAUCCCAAGGGUGCAGCCGCUCUUAAAGGUUCGUUUGUUCAACGAUUAAAGUCCUACGUGAUCUGAGUUCAGACCGGAGUAAUCCAGGUCGGUUUCUAUCUAUUAGAAAUUUCUCCCAGUACGAAAGGACAAGAGAAAUGAGGCCAAUAGAACAACUAGGCCUCAGUAGCUAAAAGAUGAUAUUAUAUCAAU